rnacentral:rRNA from 1 species
ACAGGGAUCCCUAGUACGGCGAGUGAGCGGGAACAGCUCAAUUUGAAAUCUGGCCCUUGGGUCCGAGUUGUAAUUUGUAGAGGAUGCUUUUGGUGCGGUGCCUUCCGAGUUCCCUGGAACGGGACGCCUUAGAGGGUGAGAGCCCCGUACGGUUGGACGCCUAGCCUCUGUAAAGCUCCUUCGACGAGUCGAGUAGUUUGGGAAUGCUGCUCUAAAUGGGAGGUAUAUUUCUUCUAAAGCUAAAUACUGGCCAGAGACCGAUAGCGCACAAGUAGAGUGAUCGAAAGAUGAAAAGCACUUUGAAAAGAGGGUUAAAUAGCACGUGAAAUUGUUGAAAGGGAAGCGUUUAUCACCAGACUUUUUCUGGGGGGAUCAUCCGGUGUUCUCACCGGUGCACUUCCCCCAGUUGAGGCCAGCAUCGGUUUUCGGAGGGGGAUAAAAGUUUCGGGAAUGUGACUCCCUCGGGAGUGUUAUAGCCCGUUACAUAAUACCCUUCUGGGGACCGAGGUUCGCGCAUCUGCAAGGAUGCUGGCAUAAUGGUGAUCAACGACCCGUCUUGAAACACGGACCAAGGAGUCGAACAUUUAUGCGAGUGUUUGGGUGUUAAACCCUCACGCGUAAUGAAAGUGAACGGAGGUGAGAGCCCUUACGGGUGCAUCAUCGACCGAUCCUGAUGUCUUCGGAUGGAUUUGAGUAAGAGCAUAACUGUUCGGACCCGAAAGAUGGUGAACUAUGCGUGGAUAGGGUGAAGCCAGGAGAAAUCCUGGUGGAGGCUCGCAGCGGUUCUGACGUGCAAAUCGAUCGUCAAAUCU